UUUUGUUGCCAUCUACUGGAUGGAGUGAAUAACACAAGUAGUAAGUGCUUGAUACUUUUGUUAACAUAGUAGUCUAAACCCUGUCUAAGCCAGGGGAGCGAUUCUACUAAACAAUAGGCCGGUUUCACAGACAGGGUUUAGCUUAAGCCAGGAGUAGGCCUUAAUGUGUACUAGUUAAACUAGGACAUUUAAGUAGCUUUCAUGAACGUGGCUUAGAUGGUCGGAGACUAUGGAGGCCUGGAGUAAGACUCUGGAAGAACCUUAAACUGGCUUUAAAAGAGAGAAUGCAGAGAUCAGAAGAGAGCGAUUAACUACUGGUGGUGGACCACCAAAAAAAGACAUGACUGAUGAAUUGAGCGACUUGCUGUCUGGAGUAAUAGAGCACCAGCAACCUCUGGAUGGUAUACCAGAUGAUGACCAACCUCUGGAUGGUAUACCAGAUGAUGACCAACCUCUGGAUGGUAUACCAGACGAUGACUAUUUGGACAGUUCAGAUGAAGAACUGAGCACAAAUG
rnacentral:lncRNA from 1 species